UUCCCCUUUUUUUGCUUCCAAACCUCUCCUCCCUUUCUCCUCUUGCAAAGGGAGGUGUAAGAGGGGACCUUUCCUGUUCCUGUUUCCUCUUGCCAAAUAAAGUUUUCUGGGUCUCUCUCUCUCUCUCUCUCUCUCUCUCUCUCUCUCUCUCUUCUCCGUCCCCUCCCAGCUUCCAAGAAGUCAGUAUGCUGUGAAUUCUUCCCUCUAUCUCCCAGGGAAAUCCUGCUGGUCCCUCUUACCUCCUUCUUCUCAAACCUAAAGGAAGGGAUGUUCCAGGAGCAUUCCCUCCUGACAUUUCACCCACACCUAUGGUUAAGUCUCUCUCUCUCACACACGCAGUCCCUCUGGUGCUUUUUUUCUUUCUCUCCUUCCUGGCCCUUUCUCCCUCCCCUUUCCCUGAGCGCAUGUAUGUGUAUGUCUAAAUUAUCCCAUUAACUGCCUUAAAUAUGAAGGGGGCGUCGAGGUCCGGGGGUCCCCUCUGUGCAGAGUAAAGAGCAACUGAUCGAACUGUGGGACCCAUAAUCCACUCCUGCCGCUGAGGACAACUACCUGGGCGAGGUGAACAAGGGAGGUCUGUGGGCUUUCCUGUGUGGAACCCAGAUGGCACAGGAAGAUCCUAGGAGAGCGGGACCGGACCCCAUGCCGCCCAGAAGAGACAGCCCCUCCUAGAGGCUGAUCUGAGCCCCCCACGGGGGAAUGCCAUCGCAGGAGGAGCAACCAGGAUCCCACAGCAACUGCCAUGAAGGAAGGAGGCCCUGCCCGUUCCAGAAGCUGUGCAGAGGGGUGGCCCAAGGGAGACCACUGACGCCCCCACUAGACACUAUCCCUGAGUCUCUGUGAUGAUGGAGAGCCGGACCUGUCUGCGGCCCCCAGGAGGCGCCACGCCAGAAGGAGUAGCAAGGCAGUGCCCCAUCUUCUCCCUCCCCCGAGUACCAAGGGAGGAGCCAGCGCCCCCAGGAGGCCUGAGGACCACUGCCAGAUGGGAGAAUUCCACCAUGUGCCAUCCUUCUCCAUUGGGGAUUCACUCAGGACCCCCGAGUGCCCCCCCGCUGACUGCCAUCACAGGCUCCAUCAUCCCCUGCCUCCACCAUCUUCACCUUCUUACUUCAGUCUCUUUCUCUUUCUCCAACCCAAAGAACACUCCGCCACUGGUCUCUCCCACCCUGCUGGGUCCUGUUGUUGUUGCUUGAGUUGGGCCCCAAAAUAAUCCACAGAAUACAACCUAAUCAGUCUAGAAAGAGGCCCUGGGUGCUUGGGGGGAUUGUCGAGGCUUGAGGAAAUGAGUGUGACCAUUUCCCAGCCUCGAAGGGAGGAUUUGAUGCAGAGCAUCUUCCCCCCCAAGCACUUGUAGUUUGCCAAGGGCCGGACGAUGGAUUCUGUUGCUUCCUGACCCAGCACACAUAACUGGGUUCCUGUUUCCUCUCUGUGAAUUCUCUGGCUUGUGCACUGGACCCUGGCCCCUGAUCAGGGAAAUGCAGUUCCCCAAAGGACAUUGCUCCACUCUCCACCAUUUGCAGUUUCUUUUGCGGACCUUUCUGCCCUCACUGAUUGACUUGAUGCCCUAUCAUCAUGGACUUCUUCCACGAACGCGAAACCAAGCCUCUCGGGGGAGAGUGGCCCCCACCUGUGUGUGUGCGUGCCCUUGCAAAAGGCUCAUACCUCAAGAACUCUGCUGAUUGCCUUUAUCAAAUUGCUGUAUUCUUCUAAUAAACUUUGCUGGGCUGA